rnacentral:tRNA from 1 species
GAUGAAAUGCCUGACAAAAGGGCUAUCUUGAUAGGAUAGAUCAUGUAAAUUAAAUUUACUUUCAUUA